rnacentral:lncRNA from 1 species
ACGGUUUGGCUUAGUAGUAGCCGGCUGGUUGGUUGCUUCACUCGCGAGCAGGUCUCUUGGCGAGGUGAUGUGUGCGUCGAGUCGACGCAAAAGCUUCUAGAGCUUGUUGGACAGCAGCAGCAGAACCGAUCGACGCGCCACCUGUCACGUGCGCGAUGCGGCGUGAACUUGAACCAGAAAAGGUUGGGCGAUGGAGCGGACGCAACGUAAUUGCGUCUAGUGAGAAAAACGAAAAGUUCUACGUGAUGAUUCCCAUUUAGAUUCUCGAAGUUCCCGUCCGGGUUAGGGAAGUGGUCUACAACGCAACAAUUUCCUCUUGCAUGGAAGUUCAACACUAAGAGCAUCAACAAGUGAAUGACGUAGGUAAGAGAUGUACUGUGCAAAGGGUGAGGUAACGUAUCUUUUUAGUCCAAUAAAACUCGGCUCGGUCAGUCAUUCUCCAAGUCUUUUUUUAAACUCAA